rnacentral:rRNA from 1 species
AGUGGGGAAUUUUGGACAAUGGGGGCAACCCUGAUCCAGCCAUGCCGCGUGAGUGAAGAAGGCCUUCGGGUUGUAAAGCUCUUUCGGCCGGAACGAAAUCGCAUCUCUUAAUACGGGGUGUGGAUGACGGUACCGGAAGAAGAAGCACCGGCUAACUACGUGCCAGCAGCCGCGGUAAUACGUAGGGUGCGAGCGUUAAUCGGAAUUACUGGGCGUAAAGCGUGCGCAGGCGGUUCGCUAAGACAGGUGUGAAAUCCCCGGGCUUAACCUGGGAAUGGCGCUUGUGACUGGCGGGCUGGAGUACGGCAGAGGGAGGUGGAAUUCCACGUGUAGCAGUGAAAUGCGUAGAGAUGUGGAGGAACACCGAUGGCGAAGGCAGCCUCCUGGGCCAGUACUGACGCUCAUGCACGAAAGCGUGGGGAGCAAA